UCCGUAGGCAGGCUAAUAAGUCAGGGGUGAAAUCCCACAGCUUAACUGUGGAACUGCCUUUGAUACUGUUAGUCUUGAGUUAUAUGGAAGUAGAUAGAAUGUGUAGUGUAGCGGUGAAAUGCAUAGAUAUUACACAGAAUACCGAUUGCGAAGGCAGUCUACUACGUAUAUACUGACGCUAAUGGACGAAAGCGUGGGGAGCGAACAGGAUUAGAUACCCUGGUAGUCC
rnacentral:rRNA from 1 species